rnacentral:rRNA from 1 species
AUUGAACGCUGGCGGCAUGCUUUACACAUGCAAGUCGAACGGUAACAGGCCUUCGGGUGCUGACGAGUGGCGAACGGGUGAGUAAUGCAUCGGAACGUGCCCAGAGGUGGGGGAUAACGCAGCGAAAGCUGUGCUAAUACCGCAUGUGAUCUGAGGAUGAAAGCGGGGGACCAGGCAGCAAUGUUUGGCCUCGCGCCUUUGGAGCGGCCGAUGUCAGAUUAGGUAGUUGGUGGGGUAAAGGCCUACCAAGCCGACGAUCUGUAGCUGGUCUGAGAGGACGACCAGCCACACUGGAACUGAGACACGGCCCAGACUCCUACGGGAGGCAGCAGUGGGGAAUAUUGGACAAUGGGCGCAAGCCUGAUCCAGCAAUGCCGCGUGCGGGAAGAAGGCCUUCGGGUUGUAAACCGCUUUUGGACGGAACGAAAAGGCUCUGGCUAAUACCUGGGGCUGAUGACGGUACCGUAAGAAUAAGCACCGGCUAACUACGUG